GAUUUAGUUUGUGGGACCAUUUAUUUAUCUUCUUUGAAACUCAUUUUUUUCUCAUCUGUAGAAUGGGUGUGAGACUCACACAGAAUAAUGUAUAGAGAGUAUAGAGAGCUCCUUGUCAUCUGUAAAGUCAUGAUUGUUAAUUAUUGCUAUGAAAAUCACAUUAGGAGCAACUGAUUUUUGCCAUCCAGUGGCCAGAUGGGGGUAAGUAGAUUUCCUCUGGGCUCAAUAGUUUCUUCCUCAGAUAAUCACCUCUUAAGAGUUCUUUGGUUGGCACUUAAAGAUCAGAAAUUUACUUGAAAGCAAUUUAAUCACUCUGUGAAUAAACUGAAAGAUAUAUUUCAGUUUAUAGAUGAGUGAAAUGUAAACUAGUAAUAGCAUAUGGGCUACAUCUGUAAGAGUUUAAUUUUGAUCACUAAUGCUUUCACACUGGCCUUUGGUUGGUUUUUGGAUUGGAGAUGUAUUUAUUUAAGGCUUGUUUGAAACUGUGUAUCAGUGCAUGCAUCCUUUCAUCCAGCCAGUAAAAGUAUACUCAUCGAAGUGUUUAAUUUGUUCAAGUGUCUGGGAAAAGUCCUAGGGGGCUGUAGCCAUGAAUCUCAGGUAAGCCCUAUUUAAGUGUUAACUCUUGACCGUUCACUUUUUCUACUCUUGAUAUUACUUUUUGCAUCUUCAAAAAGAUUAUACACUUUCUCUACACUUUCUUAACUAAUUUCUUUUUCUUUUUUUUGAGGCAUAGACAAAUCAUGUGUUUGGGCUGAAAGAGAUCAGGUUAUGGAAGACUGAUAUCAAGAAACCCUGUCUCCAAAAGUAAAGUAAUUGAUCAUGUUCAGGUGCCUGUGGCCAUGUCGUCUCUCUGCCGCCAAGCUGCACUGGAGGUGUCUCACGAGCUCGCUGACCUCCUGCUGUCAGCCUUCCUCCUCAAGCUCAAGGUGUGAACCUGCUUUCUGCCCCAGGAUCUUCUCUGAUGGCCACCCUGAAGCUCAACCUGGAGUGGGACAAGUUAACUCCUGCUGGGGGCAACCCUCUAACUCUGAACCUAUUGGUGAUGGGAGCUGGGAGAAAGCCACCCACCCUGGUGUUCUUCAGGGGAAUAAUUCUAGAAGGGUAUUCUACACACUUCCCAGAGGGUCAUGGCAGCACGGAGCUACCAACCUGCAGGAACUUCCAUCACAUCACCCACUUUUAUUGACUCCUCCCCCAACCGUGUCUGAGAUCUGUCCAUCCUCCAUCCUGCUGCCUGGGAUCACCUCACAAAUAAACUGCUUACACCCAGGUCCUUAUCUCAGGGUCAGCUGUUGGAGGAACCUGAACACACACCUCCACUGCUUGUGUGUGUGUUAGUCAUUCAGGCAUGUCUGACUCUUUGGGACCCCAUGGAAUGUAGCCCAUCAGGCUCCUCUGUCCAUGGAAUUCUCCAGGCAAGAAUCCUGGAGUGGGCUGCCAUUCCCUUCUCCAGGGGAUCUCCUGACCCAGGGAUCAAACCCGGUCUCCUGCAUGGCAGGCAGAUUCUUUACCACUGAGCAACCAUGGAAGCACUGCCCCCCCCCGCCCCCCUGCCACCACCCCUGCCCGCUCCCUCCGCCCCCCCCCCCCCCGCCAUUCAAGUGUAAGAUCAAUGUGAAGACACGCUCAGCCUUGAAAAGACUGUUUUUUCACACAUGGCAGGUGGGUCAUCUUCUUUCUCCAUACCCACAGGUUCACCAAGCCUUCUUUCUACAUACAGGCACCACUUUGGAGAAGAGACGCAGAAGAAAUGUUAAAGUGAAGCAUGUACUUCCCCAAAGAGACAUGUGCAAGGUAGCAUAGGUGAUAGAAAAUACAUAAGUUGGCAAAUACUGGUUUUGAUUUUUUUCCUCCCCCUCCCCAACCCCCUUUGCCCUGCAGUGAGGAGAACUGUGUGGUAGUUCAAAGAGCACCCCUAUUUUUUAAAAUAUUCACUUGGCUGCACAGGGUCUUAGCUGCGGCAUGUGGACUAGUUCUUUGUUGUUGUUUAGCCGCUCAGUUGUGUUCAACUCCAUGACCCCAUGGACUAUAGCCUGUCAGGCGCCUCUGUCCUGGGCUUUCCCAGGCAAGAAUGCUGGAGUGGAUUGCUAUUUCCUUCUCCAGGGGAUCUUCCCAACCCAGGGAUUGAACCUAUGUCUCCUGCACUGGGAGCAUGGAGUCUUAGCCACUGGAUCACCAGGGAAGUCCAGAGAGUACUUCCUUAAGGCAGACCUAUCAGCCUUUUGGACAAACUACCUCCCAGGUCCCAUCUCUCAAGAUU
ensembl:lincRNA